rnacentral:misc_RNA from 1 species
AAACAUUUCUCAUGAAUUUCAAUUGUAGUCUCCGGUGGAAUUCUCCCACUCCAGAGACACCAGGACCCAAACACCAAUUCUAGCUUAUUCAGAAGAAUUAGAAAAUGAAAAUGAGCUUGCUUCAGGAAAGUGUAAUGAAAGCUCAUUUUAUGCCAAAAGUGCAAACAGCACAGGCUUCAGGGUGAUGGAAAACAAAAGGAAGCUCGCAGUGCUGAGGAAGAGCAUGUGGGUAGAAACUGAGGACCAGGUGCUGGCAACCUUCUGUGGCAGGGAGACCACAGACACAGAGCAGACUCCCGGCCAGGAGGUGGUCCUCUCCCCUGGCUCCUUCAUGUCCAUCACUUUCCGGUCAGAUUUCUCCAAUGAGGAGCGUUUCACAGGCUUUGAUGCCCACUACAUGGCUGUGGAUGUGGACGAGUGCAAGGAGAGGGAGGACGAGGAGCUGUCCUGUGACCACUACUGCCACAACUACAUUGGCGGCUACUACUGCUCCUGCCGCUUCGGCUACAU